rnacentral:rRNA from 1 species
AUUGAACGCUGGCGGCAGGCUUAACACAUGCAAGUCGAGCGGGGAAGGGUAGCUUGCUACCUGACCUAGCGGCGGACGGGUGAGUAAUGCUUAGGAAUCUGCCUAUUAGUGGGGGACAACAUUCCGAAAGGAAUGCUAAUACCGCAUACGCCCUACGGGAGAAAGCAGGGGAUCUUCGGACCUUGCGCUAAUAGAUGAGCCUAAGUCGGAGUAGCUAGUUGGUGGGGUAAAGGCCUACCAAGGCGACGAUCUGUAGCGGGUCUGAGAGGAUGAUCCGCCACACUGGGACUGAGACACGGCCCAGAGUCCUACGGGAGGCAGCAGUGGGGAGUAUUGGACAAUGGGGGGAACCCUGAUCCAGCCAUGCCGCGUGUGUGAAGAAGGCCUUAUGGUUGUAAAGCACUUUAAGCGAGGAGGAGGCUACUGAGACUAAUACUCUUGGAUAGUGGACGUUACUCGCAGAAUAAGCACCGGCUAACUCUGUGCCAGCCGCCGCCGUAAAAC